ACCAAAAAACCGAUGAAAGUUGGAUUGGAUCCAAAAAGUGAGGAGCAUGCCCGCAGGUU
rnacentral:tRNA from 1 species